rnacentral:lncRNA from 1 species
AGGGGGCUUUGGCCCACCUUGGACUGCCCCGUGGUUUUGUCCUUGGCCAGGUAGAUGCGGGAGAUGGAGCCGAAGGGCCGGAACAGCUCCUGCAGGUCGGUCUCACGGGUGUCCUCAGACAGGUUGGUGACACGGAUGGUGGCAUUGUCAUCAGCUGGGGGGGCACGGGGUCAUCGUCACCGCACCAUCGUCAUUGUCACAACACCGUCAGCAUCAUCACAACACCAUCGUCAUCAUCACAGCACCAUCGUCAUCGUCACAACACCAUCAGCAUCAUCACAGCACCAUCAGCAUCAUCAUCAUCAUCACAACACCGUCAUCGUCACAGCACCACCGUCAUCAUCACAGCACCAUCGUCAUCGUCACAGCACCAUCGUCAUCGUCACAACACCGUCAGCAUCAUCACAACACCAUCGUCAUCAUCACAACACCACUGUCACCAUCCCAACACCACCGUCAUCAUCACGACACCACCGUCAUCAUCCCGACACCACCAUCAUCAUCGCAACACCGUCAGAACCAUCGCAACACCAUCAGCACCAUCACAACACCGUCAGCACCAUCACAACACCGUCAGCACCAUCACAAUACCGUCAGCAUCGUCACAACACCAUCAGCAUCAUCACAGCACCAUCGUCAUCAUCACAACACCACCGUCAUCAUCCCGACACCACCAUCAUCAUCGCAACACCGUCAUCAUCGUCACAACACCGUCAUCAUCGUCACAACACCGUCAGCAUCAUCACAACACCAUCGUCAUCAUCACAACACCACUGUCACCAUCCCAACACCACCGUCAUCAUCAUGACACCAUCGUCAUCAUCACAACACCGCCAUCAUUAUCACAACACCACCGUCAGCACCAUCACAACACCGUCAGCAUCGUCACAGCACCACCAUCAUCAUCACAGCACCAUUGUCAUCAUCACAACACCAUCAGCAUCAUCACAACACCAUCGUCACCAUCACAGCACCACUGUCACCAUCACAACACCACUGUCACCAUCCCAACACCACCGUCAUCAUCACGACACCAUCGUCAUCAUCACAACACCGCCAUCAUUAUCACAACACCGUCAGCACCAUCACAACACCGUCAGCAUCGUCACAGCACCACCAUCAUCAUCACAGCACCAUUGUCAUCAUCACAACACCAUCAGCAUCAUCACAACACCAUCGUCACCAUCACAGCACCACUGUCACCAUCACAACACCAUCGUCAUCAUCACAACACCACUGUCACCAUCACAACACCAUCGUCAUCACCACAACACCAUCGUCAUCAUCACCACACCAUCAGCAUCAUCCCAACACUACCAUCAUCAUCACAGCACCAUCAACAUCAUCAUCAUCAUCACAACACCAUCAUCAUCACAGCACCAUCGUCAUCGCAACACCAUCAUCGUCAGCACCAUCAUCAUCAUCAUCACAACACCACCGUCAUCACAACACCAUCAUUGUCAUCACAACAGCACCAUUAUCAUCACAACACCAUCAUCAUCGUCAUCAUCAUCACAACACCAUAACACCAUUAACAUCAUUGUCACCAUCAUCACCACCAUCAUCACCACCAUCAGCAUCAUAAGACCAUUAUACCACCAUCACCAUCAGCACGAUAACACCAUCACCAUGACCAACACCACCACCACCAGCAUCACCAUCACAACACCACCAUCACCAUCAUCACCAUCACAACACCACCAUCAUCAUCGUAACACCACCAUAACACCAUAACACCAUCACCACGACCACCCAUGAUCACCACCACCAUCAUCACCAUGACACCACCACCAUCAUCACCAUCACAACACCACCAUCACCAUCAUCACCAUCACAACACCAUCAUCAUCAUCAUCAUCAUCAUCAUCAUCACCAUCACAACACCAUCAUCAUCAUCAUCAUCAUCAUCACCAUCACAACACCAUCAUCAUCAUCAUCACCAUCACAACACUAUCAUCAUCAUCAUCAUCAUAACAUCACCACAACACCAUCACCACCACCACCACCACCACCAUCACACCAUCAGCACCAUAACACCAUCAAGACCACCACCAUCAUCACCUUCACAACACCAUCAUCACCAUCACAACACCACCGUAACACCAUCACCACCAUCGCAACACCAUCAUCAUCAUUGUAACACCACCAUAACACCAUAACACCAUCACCUUGACCACCACCACCACCACCAUCACCACCAAACAACCACCAUCAUCACCAUCACAACACCACCAUCACCAUCAUCACCAUCACCAUCACAACAACACCAUCACCAUCAUCACCAUUGCAACACCAUCAUCAUCAUAACAUCACCACAACACCAUCACCACCAUCACAACACCAUCGCCACCAUCACACCGUCACAACACCGUCAACAUCACCAUAACACCCACAGAGAGGCUCAGGUUGGGAAUGGACCUCCAAGAUGGCCGCCCCAAUGGACACAAAGACCCCAAAAGGACCCAAAGGUCAAACCCUAAUGGUCCCAUGGGGUCAUCUGUGACCCCCAAAGACCCCAAAAGGACCCAUGGGUUGGAUCCAGGUGAUCCCAUGGGGUGAUCUGUGGACCCCAAGGAUCUCAAGGGACACAAAGGCCCCAAGAGAACCCAUAGGUUGGAUCCAGGUGAUCCCAUGGGGUCACCUGUGGACCCCAAGGAUCCCAAGGGACCCAAAGACCCCAGAAGGACCCAUAGGUUGGAUCCAGGUGGUCCCAUGGGGUGAUCUGUGCCCCCCAAGGAUCCCAAGGGACACAAAGACCCCAAAGGACCCAUAGGUUGGAUCCAGGUGGUCCCACGGGGUCACCUGUGCCCCACAAGGAUCCCAAGGGACACAAAGACCCCAAAAGGACACAUAGGUCGGAUCCAAGUGAUCCUUUGGGGUUAUGUGUGCCCCCCAAGGACCCCACAAAGACCCCAAAGGACCCCCAGGUGGGACCCCGCUGCGCCGUACCCCGCCGGUUGGGCUGCAUGGACUCCCCACGCCGGCUGGCCCCGUCCCGCAGGCUGGGCGGGACGUAUUUCCCUGUCUUGCUCUGCUGUGCCUGGACCGGUUCCGGUUCUGUGGGGGGAAGAGCGGGAUUAAUGGGGGGGGGAUCACAGCCUGACUGGGGGGGGGACAGCACUGCCAUGGGGACACCCUGACAUGGGGACAGCUCAACAAUGGGACAGCUCAACAAUGGGACAGCUCGACGAGGGGACAGCCCAACAUGGGGACAUCACACCCGAGGGACACCCCAAGGAAGGGACACCCCAAGGAAGGGACACUCUGACAAGAGAACACCCCAACUGAAGGACACCCCGACCAGGGGACACCCCACCCAGGGGACACCCCACCCAGGGACACCCCAAUGAAGGGACACCCCUAUGAAGAGACACUCUGACAAGAGAAAACCCCAACUGAGGGACACCCUGACCAGGGGACACCCCAAUAAAGGGACACUCUGAGAACA